rnacentral:rRNA from 1 species
UUAGAGUUCUGGGCCGCACGCGCGCUACACUGACAGAGCCAGCGAGUCUACCACCUUUGCCGGAAGGCAUGGGUAAUCUUGUGAAACUCUGUCGUGAUGGGGAUAGAACAUUGCAAUUAUUGUUCUUCAACGAGGAAUACCUAGUAAGCGUGAUUCAUCAGAUCGCGUUGAUUACGUCCCUGCCCUUUGUACACACCGCCCGUCGCUACUACCGAUUGAAUGGCUUAGUGAGGCCUCCGGAUUGGCUAUUGGGAGCUCGCGAGAGCACCCGACUGCCGAGAAGUUGUACGAACUUGGUCAUUUAGAGGAAGUAAAAGUCGUAACAAGGUUUCCGUAGGUGAACCUGCGGAAGGAUCAUUAGUGAAUAUAGGACGUCCAACUUAACUUGGAGUCCGAACUCUCACUUUCUAACCCUGUGCACUUGUUUGGGAUAGUAACUCUCGCAAGAGAGCGAACUCCUAUUCACUUAUAAACACAAAGUCUAUGAAUGUAUUAAAUUUUAUAACAAAAUAAAACUUUCAACAACGGAUCUCUUGGCUCUCGCAUCGAUGAAAAACGCAGCGAAAUGCGAUAAGUAAUGUGAAUUGCAAAAUUCAGUGAAUCAUCGAAUCUUUGAACGCACCUUGCGCUCCCUGGGUAUUUCCGGGGAACAUGCCCGGUUUGAGUGUCAUGAAAACUUCACCCCUCCCCUUUCUUAAGGAUUGAAAAGGUGUUUGGUUUCUGAACCCUGCUGGCCUUUACGGGCUAACUCGUUCGUAAGGCAUUAGCAUCCGCAAUCGAACUUCGGAUUGCUUGGCGUAAAAACUAUUCCCUGAGGAAUUCUAGUCUUCGGACUAAAACCGGGUUGGGUUAAAGGAACUUUCUAAUCAAAAGGUCUACCUUUUAAAAAUAAAAUCUCAAAUCCGGGGGGGACUACCCCCCUGAAUUUAACCUUUUCAUAAGGGGGGGGAAAAAAAACUUACCGGGG